rnacentral:lncRNA from 1 species
UCUCAAAGUCAGCAUUUGCUUGAGGUACCCCAUUGUCAUCAAGCACCGUGGAGGGAGGAGGAACAGUGUGUAAAUCAAGAAAGCUUUGCAGUUUAUAAGCCUUUACUGCAAAUAGAAUUUGUUGUCGCCACAACAGAUAGUUAGAGUCAUCAAGAAGAACACUAACCUUCUUGGUUGAGAAGAACCUACUAUCAAUAACACCAGUAGACAAAUGAG